UUCUUCAAAAUCAUCUGCUAGAUAAAUAAAUGUAUGUAUAAUUUUUUUUUGCAGUUGCGAAAGCCUUCCUCUAAGCAAUAACAUGAGAAGCAGCAGAAGGUGUCAUCACAGAAGUCAGGAAGUUCCAGUGUGUUUGAGUGAAUCUGCAGAGACUCACAGUAACACAGAUCUACAGCUCAGAGCACAGACAACAUUAACACACACCUGAUCUGACAGUCAACAUGGAAAAACACCUGCUUCUGCUUUUAAUUCUGACUUCAGGUGUGAUGAGUGCAGACCAGAUUGGAUCAAAUCAAGAAACUAGUGUCAUAAAAAAGGAAGACGAGACUGUGACCCUCAGCUGCUCAUAUGAAACAAGCAGCAGUUAUGUUAGACUUUACUGGUACAGACAGUAUCUUAAUGGAGAGCUUCACUAUUUAAUAUAUAAGAAUUCAGGUGGUGGAGGUGGCAGCCCAGCUGAUCCUCGCUUUCAGUCGACUACACCACAAUCAUCCACUGAACUCACUAUUACUGGUGUAACUCUGUCAGAUUCAGCUCUCUAUUAUUGUGCUCUAAGAGUUGAAGCCCAGUGAUACAAAGUCUAUGUGAAGCCGUACAAAAACUCAAACUAAUUUUUCCCUUUGAUGUCAAGCCAUAUCAGACCCACAAUCUAAUAUUCACACAAUUUAAUUUUACUUGUGGAAACACC